AAUCGUGCUUUUGGAUAUUCUAUUAUAUUCCAUAUGAAGAUGUUCAGACAAAUUUGCUGGAGAUGUUUCACAAAAUAUUCAUUUUUAGAAAAACUUCCAUUUUAUAUGCAGAGAAAUUUAAAAUUUCAUAAAAUCUCAGAAUAUCAACAAUGCAGCAAUAUUCAAAAGUGUGAUCCAUUAACAAUAGAAAAUACAACUUUAUCUAAACAUCCUCAAGGUAUUUCAGGUAUGUUAUAGUUAGUAAAUAUAUAUAACCACAUAGUUUCUUAGCACAAAUUGGAUAAGUGUAUGGUGGCAAAUCAUCAUAGCUACAAGUGUGCAGCAUUUAAAUCGGGUUACCGAAGUGUGGCCCGUGAGACUGUUUCAUAUGGAUGCAAACUAUUGCUGGCCCAAAUCAAUAUAAUUUUCAGAAAACUAUAGUAAUACAUUUCAAAGAUUGUUAGAUGAAUUUGAUAGGCAUUUUUUAAAAAUUAUGAGAAAGAAUU
rnacentral:lncRNA from 1 species